CUGCCGGCGACCGGCGCACGGGUGAGUAACACGUAUGCAACCUGCCCUCCGUAGGGGGAUAACCCGGAGAAAUCCGGACUAAUACCGCGUGGUACAUCUGUGGGGCAUCCCACGGGUGUUAAAAGGAAGCGAUUCCGGCGGAGGAUGGGCAUGCGGCGCAUUAGCUAGUUGGCGGGGUAACGGCCCACCAAGGCGACGAUGCGUAGGGGUUCUGAGAGGAAGGUCCCCCACACUGGUACUGAGACACGGACCAGACUCCUACGGAAGGCAGCAG
rnacentral:rRNA from 1 species